GUGAGGAAUAUUGGUCAAUGGACGAGAGUCUGAACCAACCAAGUCGCGUGAAGGAAGACGGUUCUAUGAAUUGUAAACUUCUUUUGUGCAGGAAUAAAGUGGGUUACGUGUAACCUUUUGUAUGUACUGUACGAAUAAGGAUCGGCUAACUCCGUGCCAGCAGCCGCGGUAAUACGGAGGAUCCGAGCGUUAUCCGGAUUUAUUGGGUUUAAAGGGUGCGUAGGUGGAUUGAUAAGUCAGCGGUGAAAGUUUGCAGCUUAACUGUAAAAUUGCCGUUGAAACUGUCGGUCUUGAGUGCAAAUGAGGUAGGCGGAAUGUGUUGUGUAGCGGUGAAAUGCUUAGAUAUAACACAGAACUCCGAUUGCGAAGGCAGCUUACUAAGCUACAACUGACACUGAUGCACGAAAGCGUGGGUAUCAAACAGGAUUAGAAACCCUUGUAGUCC
rnacentral:rRNA from 1 species